AGUGAACGCUGGCGGUAGGCCUAACACAUGCAAGUCGAACGGCAGCACAGUAAGAGCUUGCUCUUACGGGUGGCGAGUGGCGGACGGGUGAGGAAUACAUCGGAAUCUACUUUUUCGUGGGGGCUAACGUAGGGAAACUUACGCUAAUACCGCAUACGACCUACGGGUGAAAGCAGGGGAUCUUCGGACCUUGCGCGAUUGAAUGCGCCGAUGUCGGAUUAGCUAGUUGGCGGGGUAAAGGCCCACCAAGGCGACGAUCCGUAGCUAGUCUGAGAGGAUGAUCAGCCACACUGGAACUGAGAGACGGACAAGAAUCCUACGGGAGGCAGAAGUGGGGAAUAUGGGAGAAUGGGCGCAAGCCUGAACCAGCCAUGCCGCGUGGGUGAAGAAGGCCUUAGGGUUGUAAAGCCCUUUUGGGGGGAAAGAAAAGCAGCAGGUUAAUACCCCGCUGUUCUGACGGAACCCAAAGAAUAAGCAGGGGCUAAAUUCG
rnacentral:rRNA from 1 species